rnacentral:lncRNA from 1 species
GGGUCGGAGGGGAAGGAGUGGCUGUCGGCAAAGGCCACGCAAACUUCCCCAGCUCCCAGGCAGCCAGGGGCCACAGCACAGCAAGGAGAUUAACCAAAUCGGAUUUAGGGAGCUGGAAGCUGCCGGGAUAAUCCACUCACGCCUCUGCUUAUCAGAUCUCCCUGCUCCUCUCUGUCUCAAUGAGCCUCUGCCCCGCUCCCUACCUCAACUUCACCCCUGCGAGCCGAGGCUCGGUGUCUCCAGAUGCGAACUCCCAUCUGCGGCGCACGUUGUCUGCUUGUCUGGCUUUAUUCGCCCAUUUGUUCAUUCGUAUUUAGUGAACAGCUACUCUGUACAGGUGCUCUGAAGACGAACGGCAAUCAACACACACAGUUCCUGCCUUCGUGGGGUUCAUAGCCUAGCAAGGGCCAUCGAUGGCAUCUCAGAAGAUUCUCAGGAAUUUUGGGGGAUGGCUCAGUCAGGUGCCACCGUCUCUGCUUCUUUUCUGGCCUCCCUUGUGACCCACACAGCUGUCCUACAGAUUGUGGAAGAAUGUGGGGUCUCUACCUGCGGUCCUCUGCUGCGGAGAAGCCCUUCCUGCUGGAGACGAUGCCAGGAUCUCAGGACACAACCUGACUGCGAUCCCUGAAGUAGUACAGGGGACACAAAUGGGAGAACGGACAAUUCUUCGGAGAUGCCACGUAAGACA